GAUCCCAUACAUCAGCAAAGCAGUCCAUCACAGCACAACUCCACAGAUGAAGAUGGCUAUUAAACAGUUCAGGCAGUGGAAACACAGAGUAAAAGCAGGUUGCCACUCUUGGGUGCGGAUCUUGAGUUAAUGUGGCAAUUUACGUAUCCAACUGUUUAUGGAGUUGCUGUCUGUAAUUAUUGGAUUAGAUGACUAGAAGACAGACUUGAGAGACUUUGAAAGUGGAUUGAUUGUUACAGCAUGCUGCUCAAGAGCUUCAUUCCUCAAAGCACUUCAGCUUGUGUAGCAACUUUACAAAUGCAUAGCAGAAUGAUGUACACUCCAUUUUUCUCAAUCCAGAUGAGCAUUAUCCUCUUCCACCUGACUCUGGCUCUCCAGUUGAGCUGAGGAGGCCCCUUUCACGUCAGACCUGGGAGAACUUCUGGUGCCAGGAUUUUGUCCAAAGAAAACACUUCAUGAGUGAGACAGAAGCCUCUUAAUGUAUGGGUAGACAUUCCUGGCUGCACCAAUGGAACCCAGCAAGGCUGUGGAAUGGGACUACAGUUCCCAGUAUGCCCUGUGGGUGUGGGAAAGGCUGCAGUGGUCCAGGAGUGUAGCCAUCAGUAUAUCAGACCGGAUGAUUGACAGCCCUACCACCUCUGAUGUCACUUCCAGUGACCAGCCCCCUGGACCCGCCUUUUCCUUCCUGGCCUGUUCUUAACCGAAACAAAGAAGAUCAAUAAUCCAAACAUACCUGCAAUAACCCACAUCUCAGAAAAUGGCAACUCUACUUCCUCAUUCCAGACGUCACUUCUGGCCUCCGGUGAUGACGUCAUUUCCGGUCCUCCCAAGAUGACAUCAUUUCUACUUUAAUCAUGUCCGGCAGCCAUUUUCUGUAUAAAUAGCCACCUUCACGAUCAUCUGUUGUCUAAUGUCUGAAUUAUUUCUACAUUUUCGACCAACUUUUGCUACAAGCAGUAUACGGGCUAUUCCCCAACUCUAUAUAAUUGUUUUUGUAUACGUUAUUUCGUCACAUUGCAUUUAUCUACAUUCUUUUAUAUUUUUCCACUGAAGCUAUUUUUCUCAGUAUAAAAUAUGAAUAGAAAUCUUUAAUUGCAUGCUACUGAAAUUGAAUCUUGUGAGCAUUAGCCCCUUAAUUGAAUCUGUUCUGCCCUUUCGAAAACAAGGAUAUUUGUUGCUCAAGUAGUCUGCGAACGUGCACUUGCAUGGCAUAAUGGGUAUUCCGGAAUUUGUGGAAAAAAUGAAAGAAUUGUGAAAAUAUUACUAAAUUACUUGAA